UUUUUUUUUUUUUUUGCUCAUUCUUUUCAAUACCAGAUAUUAUCACUCUUUAUAGUUUUUGCCAGUCAAUGACAAGUGAUAUCUUAUUUUUGUUUUUACUUACAUUUUCUUGGCUAGCGAGGCUGAGCAUCUUUUCAUAUUUUUAUUGAGUACUUGAGUUUCCUCUUUUGCAACUUGACUGUUUGUAUCCCUUUCACAUUUUCCUCUUGGUCAUUUCUUUCUUUCCUUUUUUUUUUUUUUUUUAACACAUUUUAUUUUUAUUUUUAAUUUUUUUUGCAUCUUUGUCUUCUACUCAAAUAUCCUAGAACUUACAAAUCUAAAAUGAACAUUAAAAGAGUUCCCACUGCAGCACAGUGGGUUAAGAAUCUGAUUGUAGCAGCUCUGGUCACUGCAGAGGUGUGGGUUCAAUCCUUAGCCCAGUGAAGUAGGUUAAAGGAUCCAGCAUUGCUGCAGCUAUAGCGUAGGUCACAGCUGUGGCUCAGAUUCCAUCCCUUCCCUCAGCCAGGAACUUCAUAUGCUGUGAGUGUGGUCAUAAAAUAAUAAUAAAUUAAAUAAACAUUAAAACAGAUCUUGGCCAUUUGUUUCUAACUAGCCUGUAGAAACUUUUUGUAUGAUAGAGACAUAACUCAUGUUAUAAUAAAUAUUUUCUCAGUCUGUUUUUUUAUUUUAUUUAUGUUUUCAUAAUAAAAUUUAACUUUCAAAUAGUGAAACACUAUUUGAAAUCAUAAAAAAAAAAGAAAUCAUAAAAUUCUUCUUCUUCUUUUUUUUUUUUUUUUGCUUUUUAGGGCCACACCUACACCUACAGCAUAUGUAAGUUCCCAGGCUAGGGGUCGAAUUGGAGCUGCGGGCCUGCACCACAGCAGUGCCAGAUCCAAGCCACAGCUGUGACCUCUGCCACAACUCAUGGCAAUGCCGGAUCCUUUGACCCACUGAGUGAGGCCAGGAAUUGAAUCCAUGAGGGUGGAUACUAGUCGGGUUUGUUUCUGCUGUGCCACAACGGGAACUCCCUUAUGAUUCUUCUUAAUGAAAGUCUCUCCCCCACACCUCCUUACUUUUAUUAUCUUAUAUUUAGAUAUCUAAUUCAUUUACAGUUCAUUUUUGGACAUAAUAUGAGAUAGAGUCUGAAUUGAUCAGAAUUUUCUUAUCUUUUUUUUAAUGGCAGCACCUGUAUUGUAGUACAUGGACAUUCCUGGGCCAGGAAUUGAAUCAGAGCCACGGCUGAGACCUCUGCUGCAGCUAUGGCAAUGCAAGGUCCUUGAACCUACUGCACUGGGCCGGGAUUGAACCCACACCUCCCUAGUGACCUGAGGCACUGUAGUCGGAUUCUUAACCUACUGUGGAGGUUACUUCCACAGCUCACAGCAAUGCCGGAUCCUUAACCCAAUGAGCGAGGCCAGGGAUCAAACCCGCAUCCUCAUGGUUCCUAGUCAGAUUUGUUUCUGCUGCGCCACGACGGGAACUCCCCCAUUAGACUUCUAGUCAUAUUUCAUAGAGUAGGGCAUGGCCACCUUCAUUUUCAAGAGUCUAGGCAGGUGAAUAGUUUUGACUAGGUACAUUGCUGCCCUAAACAAAAUCAGGCUAGGGGUUGAAUCGGAGCUGUAGCCACCGGCCUACGCCAGAGCCACAGCAACGCGGGAUCCGAGCUGCGUCUGCAACCUACACCACAGCUCACGGCAACGCCAGAUCGUUAACCCACUGAGCAAGGGCAGGGACCGAACCCGCAACCUCAUGGUUCUUAGUCGGAUUCGUUAACCACUGCGCCACGACGGGAACUCCACACAUUCGGUUUUUGCAAUUUGUCCCGUGUUUGUACCGAUACAGUAAAUAUUUAGCCUCUUUAUAGUGCUAGGUGAUUUCACCAAGAUGCUUAACCUUUAGUUCCCUGUGAAUUCAGUAUUUUUCUUCCACUUUGAGAUAAAGAAAAUGAGCUUAGCAAAGGUCAUUUCUCAUGUGUUUGGAUUUGGCAGAGUAGCCUCUGGUCCUUUCCACUAGGACAGCAGCUAGUCUUCAUUACCUUAGCAUAAGGAUGAGCAUUCUGUCUUGGGGGAUGCAGAUGAGGUUCUGAUGUAUUUUUAUGAUAUUAAUCCAGAGACCAAGGAGUACCUGGGUCCCCUCCUCCCUUUGGAGUCUCACAUUGAGGGAGCUAUAGGGAGCGACAUACAAGGAUGAGAAUCCAGUAACUCCCACUUCAGAACUGUUAUUUCGAACUUUUCCUCCCUUCUCCAAAACUAACAUGGCACAGUCUUCAGAGGAGACCCCAGCAAGAGGCAGAAAAGAAGAGAGACCUGAGUCAGGAAGAAGCAGCAAAUAAGGCCUAAUAAAUGCCUGGGCUCUGACUAAUCAUACCAAACACAGGAAGCCCUUUUUGAUAGCACGAGGAGAUGGAGCAAAAGUGCUCCCUUCUCUAAAAUCUGCAAAAGUAAACCAUAUACCUCCAGUGUAACCAAAAUGUACCAGAGAUUAAAAGUUUAAGUGGGUUUGGUAGUAGUUGUGAUUAGAGCCAAUGUCCCCUUAGUCUUUUUGUGUUCUCAGCCUAUGCAUUUUCACAACUUUUGGAAACCUCAGUUCCUCAGAAUUUCUCACCAGAAACAUCAAGAAUUAGCUUUAGGGGUUCCCAUCAUGGCUCAGCGGUAAUGAACCCCGACUAGUAUCCGUGAGGAUGCGGGUUUGAUCCCUGGCCUUGAUCAGUGGGUUAAAAGAUCCGGUGUUGCUGUGACUGUAUAGUGUGAGGGUUGAAGACGUGACUCGGAUGCUGUGUUGCUCUGGCUGUGGUGUAGGCCGGCAGCUGCAGCUCCUAUUCAGCCCCUAGCCUGGGAACUUCCAUAUGCCACACGUGAGGCCCUAAAAAGACAAAAAAAAAAAAAAAGAAGAAGAAAUACUUUUAGGGUAUUUGACCUUGCGCUUGCUUAUAGCUUCCAUAGUCUCUCUGAAAAUGUCAUUGCUUCAAGAUCUUUUUUGAGGUAGUUUUGCCAGGACCUAAUUCUGUUUUUGUUUUUGUUUUUGUCUUUUUUUGGAGCUGCACCCACAGCAUAUGGAGGUUCCCAGGCUAGGGGUCUAAUUGGAGCUGUAGCCUCUGGCCUACACCACAGCCAAGGCAACACUAGAUCUGAGUGGGGUCUGUGACCUACACCACAGCUCAUGGCAACGCUGGAUCCUUAACCCACUGAGUGAGGCCAGGGGUCCAACCCUCGACCUCAUGGUUCCUAGUUGGAUUCGCUUCCACUGUGCCAAGACGGGAACUCCAGCUAGGACAUAAUUCUGGGUUAACAAUUAUUUUCCUCUUAGACCUUGAAGAUAUUAUUCCACUCUCUUCUGGCUUCCAUUGUUGCCACUAAGAAAUGUUCUGUUAUUUUUUUUUUUUUCCCACUGUACAGCAAGGGGGUCAGGUUAUCCUUAGAUGUAUACAUUGCAGUUACAGUUUUUUCCCCCACCCUUUCUUCUGUUGCGACAUGUUCUGUUAUUUUUGUUUGUUCCUUUGUAGUUAGGCUGUAUUUCUCUCUAGCUGUUUUAGGAUCUUUUUCUUGUCUUUGGUUUUCUAGUUUGACAAUAAUGUGUUUUGGUGUGGCUUUCUUUUUAUUUAGACUGGGAUUCAUUUAAUUUCUUCAAACUCAGAAUUUGAGCUUCGUUAAUUCCAGAAGAUCCUCAGUCAUAAUUUUUCAAGUAUGACCUCUCCUUUGUCUCCUUCCAAAACUCCAGAUGUACUACCAUUGUAUCUUUGAACUUUUAUCAUCUAUGACCCAUAAUUUUUCUUUUACCCUUCCCAUUUCUUUGUCUCACUGGUACAUUCUAGGUCACUUAUUUGGGUCUGUCCUCUAGGUCACUAAUUUUUCAGCUGAACUAUUCAGCUAUUUAAUCUUUCCAUUGAUUUUGUACUUUGAAAUAUAUUUUUCACUUCAGAAAUGCUGUUUGAUUCUCUAAUGCUAAUAGCACUCUCAUGCUCUUUUUUUUUUUUUUUUUUUUUUUUUAAGGGCUGCACUGGUGGCAUAUGGAGAGUCCCAGGCUAGGGGUCGCAUUGGAGCUACAGCUGCCAGCCUGCACCACAGCCACAGCCACACCAGAUCCGAGCCAUGUCUGCAACCUACACCACAGCCAUAGCAACACCAGAUCCUUAACCCACUGAGCGAGACCAGGGAUCGAACCUGCAACCUCAUGAUUCUUUGUUGGAUUUGUUUCCUGCUGUGCUGCCACAACAGGAACUCCCUCAUGCUAUUUUAACAAAGUGAAAAUACUUGCAGUUCCCCAAAGUUGACAGUAGUUAAAGCUGGAAAAUGAGUAUGUGGAGAAUUUAUUCUCCUUUAUUUACUUUUGAUAUGUUAAAUAAUCUUCAUGAUAAGUUAAAAAAAAUCAGAGAGGGGGGGAUGUCAUCAACCUAUAAAAGAUUGGAGGACUUCCCUGAUGGCCUAGUGGUUAAGAAUCCAGCAUUGUCUCUGCUGUGGCUCGGGUCACUGCUGUGAUGUGAGUUUGAUCCCAAGGCCUAAGAUCUUCCAUAUGCUACAGGCAUGGCCUAAAUAAACAAAUACAUAAAGGAUUGGAAACAGUUGAACAGUAGGUCACAUGAAACCAUGAGAAUUUAAACUGGGGCAUGGAGAAAACAGAAUUGUGGGGCGUGGAACUUUUCUUGGAAUGCAGUGGAGGAUUCUGAAUAGGUAGAGGACAGCAGGAAGGGAGGCUGUGAAUAUGUGGGAGUCAGGAAGGCAGAAGUUGGAAGGAGGAAGUAGGUUCUAACCUUUGCUGAGAGGACCCCAAAACAAUCUAUUUAAUUUUCCACAUUGCCUAGAAUCGGAGAAUCACUAGGAAUCAUCUCAAAUACUGCCUUCGUUUGAACAUCGUGGGUUGCUGGUGUUUUUGGUUUUAGGGAUUUUGGAAAGGUGAAAACUCCGGCUUCUGCCAGGUUAGCAUCACUGUUCUGUUUUGGCGAGUAUAGCCAGUGUGAAAUCCUGACUUAACUGGUGUCCCCAACCAGUCUAUGCCCUGCCUUACUAAGUAAGGGAGGAUGAGGAAAAUACUACUUUAGACUUAUUUUCUUAGGUGACAUAAUUCUCUCUUGCUACUUGCUCUUCUGUCUUGAAAAUGUGAAGAAAGAGUUUAAUUUAAAAAAAUCAUCAUGGAGGUCUCAUUGUGGCUCAGUGGAAAUGAACCUGACUAGUAUCCAUGAGGACGUGGGUUUGAUCCCUGGCCUCACUCAGUGGGUUAAGGAUCUGGCAUUGCCGUGAGUUGUGGUGUAGGUCACAGAGGCUGCUCACAUCCCGAGUUGCUGUGGCAUAUGCUAGCAGCUGUAGCUCCAAUUCGACCCCUAGCCAGGGAACUUCAACAUGCUGCAGGUUCAGCUCCCUUCCCCGCCCAAAAGCAAUAAAAAGAUCGGCAGAGUCUCACAUUCAAGGAUUUUCCAUGUGCAAAGCAACCCCUAAAAUAAGUCCUUGGAAUGAACAAGGUUUCUCUUGCAAACGUUUUAAUAACAUUUCUCUCUUUUAAAGAUGUGGUUACAUAUGUCAUGUUAUUAGAUUUUUAUGGCAACUCUCUUGGGUGAGACGUUUUACUAAGUCAUUUCAUAGAAAGAGAGAAAAAACAGUACUUUUUGCUUUACUUUUGUUUGGCAUCUCAUUCCUGGCACAUAGUGGGAGCCCUCAAUAAAUUCUUUUUGGAUAAAUGCCAUUUAAAAUAUGAUUGGAUUUAUGAGAUUUUUGGUUUUAUGUACAGUUCCAAAAAAUGAAAUUCUCUUUUGGCUUCUUCUAGUAUAGUAUUUUUGAGCAGAACGAAGUCUCUUUGCAAUGAUUUAGACAAGUAAAUUUUUAUUUGGAAAAACUGAGUUAGGGAAGUUCCCUUGUGGCUCAGUGGGUUAAGAAUCUGGCAUUGUCACAGCUGCGGCAUGGGUUCGAUCCCUGGCACAGGAAUUACCACAUGCCAUGGGCAAGGCAAAAAAAAAGAAAAAGAAAAAAA
rnacentral:lncRNA from 1 species